AUCAGUGCGCGUCAUAGCCACUGGUCAUUCCGCCAUAAGGGUAGCUAGGCUUUUAUUAUAUAGGAUUUUAUUUAACCCAAUAUGUAAAAACUUAUUUCCAUAUGUAAUCAAUAUAAAAAGUUAGUAACAAGAUAUUUUACAUGCCUUUUUCAUAUUAAAUCUUUGAAAUGCAAUUUGUAUUUUACACUUGCAGUCCAUCUCAGUUUGGGCCAGCUACAUUCAAGCACUCAACAGCCCUGUGGCCAGUGCUAUCAGACAGCACAGUAUUGAAAACACAGUAAUAGCAAGAGAAGUAAAAAAGAGCUUAUCAAAAUGUGAACCAUCCUGGCCGGUGUGGCUCCAUGGUUGAACAUUGACCUAUGAACCAGGAGGUCAUGGUUCAAUUCCAGGUCAGGGCACAUGCCUGGGUUGCGCUCCAUCACCAAUAGGGGGUGUUCAGGAGGUAGUCCAUCAAUGAUUCUCUCUCAUCGACAUUGUAUGGCCCACAAAAUCUCUGAAAUCAAUAAAAAAUAUUUUUUAAAAAUGUGAACCAUUAAGUAAUGAGACUAUUAAACUGAUUGAACUGAA